rnacentral:rRNA from 1 species
AUGACUCUAUGUAUCCAAGUACUUUACAUCAUUAUUGCUCGGAUCCGCAUUGUACAAAACUUUGUUGACCGACCAUCGGCUUCAACCUCCUCGGCCAGCAGCCGAGGAGUAUUUGUCCUACUUUAUAAAGCCUUUAUGAGGGUAAAGAUUUACGACAAACAAGGCAAUCCGGCCAUACGGUUUUAUAAACAAAGGUACGCAGAGAGACAUGUUAUAUUAUUAUUUGACAUAAGAAACAUCGUCCAAAGAAAAUGGUCCCACUAUCGGUUCCUUUCUUUGGGUUGUCAUGCUAAGCAUGAUCAUGAAACCUCAGCUCCGAUCAAUGUGGGGGGGGGGAAAUACCAAGGAUUUAGUUCGGGGAAAGCUUCCAAACUCUGUGGUCUAAAUAAAUCCAAUUUUUCACUUCCGUUGCGAUCGUUUAUAAUCUGGAAGUGGCCCAUCGUCGGCUUCUACCCCCUUGUAGAUGCUACGCAGGGUGUUUCCGAAAUAACAAAACAACCCUUAGCCGACAUCUCGGUGCCCGAAGGCGGUUGUGUUGGCAGAAACGAGGCAAUCAGAUAUGCGGGCUUUAUAACUUUCACUUAG